rnacentral:rRNA from 1 species
ACGAACGCUGGCGGCGUGCUUAACACAUGCAAGUCGAACGGAAAGGCCCUUCGGGGUACUCGAGUGGCGAACGGGUGAGUAACACGUGGGUGAUCUGCCCUGCACUUUGGGAUAAGCCUGGGAAACUGGGUCUAAUACCGAAUAGGACCACGCGCUUCAUGGUGUGUGGUGGAAAGCUUUUGCGGUGUGGGAUGGGCCCGCGGCCUAUCAGCUUGUUGGUGGGGUAAUGGCCUACCAAGGCGACGACGGGUAGCCGGCCUGAGAGGGUGACCGGCCACACUGGGACUGAGAUACGGCCCAGACUCCUACGGGAGGCAGCAGUGGGGAAUAUUGCACAAUGGGCGCAAGCCUGAUGCAGCGACGCCGCGUGAGGGAUGACGGCCUUCGGGUUGUAAACCUCUUUCAAUAGGGACGAGGCGCAAGUGACGGUACCUAUAGAAGAAGCACCGGCCAACUACGUG